rnacentral:misc_RNA from 1 species
UUUGGUUUGUCACGUGUGGUUGGCUGCGGCGUUUGCAACAACUUCCAUGCUUUCAGACCUCUUCAGUUGUGCGGCAAGGCUUGUAUCGCCUUGUCGUAAUGUGGGUUUUCUGUGUUGUAUACCUAAUCAAUGGUAUCGGUUGGAUUGAUCAAUGUUUCAUUUCGUCUGUCGUNGCAUUNGCGGCGUGAGACGAACCUCGAUGCGGUCUCUUUGGCCCACCUCGUCGAAGCACAUGCUUUGACGUUGUGGCACAUUGAGCAUUGCUUGGUCUCUUGUAUACGGAACAUAUAGUGGGCAUGGAUCUAACGAUUCUUGUUUGCCCUCAUGUUAGCGUAACGCUUCUCUUACACGACUUGCUCCACGUUUUAG